rnacentral:lncRNA from 9 species
GUCCUUCCGGAGGCUGCCGAGCACGAGGGGUUUGCAUGCUCUUCUGGGCAGAGUGAGCCCAGCUCGUUCAGACCCUGGGCACCAUUCGGAGCAGAAGCGGGUGGGAUAGACACGUGUGUCCGUCUGCCCCAGAGGAUCCCACUUGCACCGGCUUUGGACGUUCUCGGGAUUUGCAAUGCCGCCCCCCGCGGACAUCGUCAAGGUGGCCAUAGAAUGGCCGGGCGCCUACCCCAAACUCAUGGAAAUCGACCAGAAAAAACCACUGUCUGCAAUAAUAAAGGAAGUCUGUGAUGGGUGGUCCCUUGCCAACCAUGAGUAUUUUGCACUGCAGCAUGCUGAUAGUUCAAACUUCUAUAUCACAGAAAAGAACUAAACAUUGCUGGUCUAAGUUUUACAUCUCUACCCUCCACGAAAAUAGCGUCUGCAAAGCAAACAACAGUGACUUUAGCAUUAACAAGGGGAUAUUUAGCCCAGUCAAGAGCGAAGACCAAAUAUGUUUCUGCAUCCUGUUUUAGCAACAGCAUUUGCCUUCUAACAGGGAAUUUACUAAUUCUCUCUCUUUCUUAUUGCUUGGUUAAAGCAUUGAUUUGAUACUUAAUGACUUAGUCUAGCUUUCCUUUCUUUCUUUUUUCCUCUUGGAACAACCUCUAAUCCCUGCUUAAAGUAAUUGAAAUAAUGAUAAAAACCCAUUUCGGAGGUGGCAUUGUGUAGGCAGUGAGUGUUCUGUGGCUCCUGGGAAUGCGACUUUCUUCCUGGAUGAUUUUCACCCUUUAGGAAGCUUGGAGGAGAAGGAGGGGGCUGCGAAGACUACAAUGGCUCUGGCAACAAGUACAAUUAAUAUCUUAGAGAUCCUUGAUAGGAGAAGGGAAAACUAACAUUGAUUCAGCACCUACUGUGUGCCAGGAACUGGGUCAGCCACGUUAUAUCUGUUGGCCACAGCACUAGCUUUGGUUGAUGAUGAGACACUGAAUCAUAAAAAUCAGAUGGCUUGGCUAGUAUCUCAGGGGUAAUAAACCCUAGAACCAAGAAGCAUGUCUAGAUCUUUGUGUUUUUAUCACUUUUUCUUGGGGGAAUUUCUAGAAAAGUUUAACAUUCAGUUCAGUUUUAUGGAGAGUUCACUGAAAUGCAUGGGAGCCGCUAUUGUCUCCGUGGGACUGAUAACCUUUGGGCCUGGUGGGGAGGGGAGAGUGAGCUCUGUGAACAGAUUUCAUCACAACCAGGUGGUCAGCGCUGUGGCAGAAGUGAAUACAAAAUGGGGAGUUCCUCUCGUGACACAGCAGAAACAAAUCCGACUAGUAUCUGUGAGAAUGCAGGUUUGACCCUAGUGGGUCGGGGAUCCAGUGUUGCUGCAAGCUGCAGUGUAGGUAGAAGACGUAGCUCGGAUCUGGCGUUGCUGUGGCUGUGGCGUAAGCCAGAAGCUACAGCUCUGCUUCGACCCUCUCCUGGGAACUUCCAUGUGCUGCAGGUGCAGCCCUAAGAAGAAAAAAAAAAGGGGGGGGAUACAAAAUGAUCUGGAGAAGGGGAGAAUUGAUUGGGGACCUAAAGCCUCCUGAGCUUUGUUUGUGCCCAUCAGCAGUCCCUAGAGUGAGCGUAAGUUUACCCAUGAACCACGCGGGAGUGGAAGGUGGAGGCAGUGGUGGGGGUCCUGGGCCCCCUGUGACUGCUCGCUCUACCCUGCAGAGGUGGGGAGGGCGGGGAGGGGUGUUCCAUCCAGCCCCCAGGGAGGAUUGCCAGAGGCCUGGAAGUGCUUCUCAGAAUUGUUGUAUUCUUCCCCAGUGGGCAUGGGAAUUUUCCUAACUGAUCGUGUUUUCCUCCGCACACCGACUGCCAGAAAGCUGAGCGUUAGCAAGGGACUAGAUUUCCUGACCUGUGUUGUAUUUAUUACUUCUCCUUGUUCCUUUGCUGCAUUCCGCAAACAGUUCCCUGUCUUUAUUUCCCCUUUGCCUCAUUUUCUUAAGAUUUUUCAUUUAUUUUAUAUUGUAUUUAUAUAAUCUGGAUGCUAUUCUUUGGGAGAUAAAGAGGAUAUAAAUAAAAAUAAAAGUUAAAUGUUAGCUGUUAAAUGUAUUGCUGUUGAUCUCCUUAAACAGAAGGCGAUCUCAUUUCACCUUGGUUCAUCUUUUAAAGGUAACUAAAAUAGUGUGACUUUUUGGAGUAUUAUUGGAAAAGAUUGGAUGGCUUUCUACUACUUGGGAUAUAAUAUGAAAAAGUGUGAAAAUGAGGUGAUAAAAGUAUAGGACAGUAGAAAUUAUAAUCAUCAAUUAGUGGGUAGUGAAAUCAACUUAGUUGGUUGCCAUAGCAUUAAAAAUUGGAAUAUAGUGGAGUAGAAUAGGUCAGAGUACUUCACCUAUGUUGCUUGUGAAAAACUUGUGCCACACCCAUACACAUAUAUAAUACAUGUAUAUUGUGCUAAUUUUUUUACCCUGGACUCUGCCCCAAAAGCCAUUGAGUCACCCAUAGCUCUGCCUCGGAUUAACUGUGUUGGCUUGUGUCCCCUGGUGGCUGUCCUAUCUUCUGUCAUCAUUGUCAGGAAGUCUUGUUUUGGAGAUUACUAAGGAUGGGAUUCUCAGACUAGGGAAUGUAAGCAUCGCACGCAGGGAGGACCUUUUAAAAAUGUAGAUUUUCACAUCCCAACCCCAGAAACUCAGAAUGUGCAGGCCUUGGAUGUGGCCUAGGAUUUUGCAGUUUAAGAGCCUUCUAUGGGGAGUUCCCACUGUGGCUCAGUGGGCUAAGAAUCUGACUAGUAUCAAUAGGGAUGCAGGUUCGAUCCCUGGCCCUGCUCAGUGGGUUAAAGAUCCAGCAUUGCCGUGAGCUGUGGUAUAUAGGUUGCAUAUGUGGCUUAGAUCUGGUGUUGCUGUGGCCCUGGCCUAAGCUGGCAGCUACAGUGCUUAUUCGACCCCUAGCCUGGGAACUUCCAUAUGCCACAAGUGCGGCCC